CCUACGGGUGGCAGCAGUGGGGAAUAUUGCACAAUGGGGGAAACCCUGAUGCAGCGACGCCGCGUGAGCGAUGAAGUAUUUCGGUAUGUAAAGCUCUAUUAGCAGGGAAGAAGAUGACGGUACCUGACUAAGAAUCCCCGGCUCACUACGUGCCAGCAGCCGCGGUAAUACGUAGGGGGCAAGCGUUAUCCGGAUUUACUGGGUGUAAAGGGAGCGUAGACGGGGGUGCAAGUCAGAUGUGAAAGCCCGGGGUUCAACCCCGGGACUGCAUUUGGAACUGUGUGGCUGGAGUGUAGGAGAGGCAGGCGGAAUUCCUAGUGUAGCGGUGAAAUGCGUAGAUAUUAGGAGGAACACCAGUGGCGAAGGCGGCUUGCUGGACGAUGACUGACGUUGAGGCUCGAAAGCGUGGGGAGCAAACAGGAUUAGAUACCCGUGUAGUC
rnacentral:rRNA from 1 species